rnacentral:rRNA from 1 species
AACAUUGCCUCUUGAAAAUAUAAGAGGUCCAUCCUGCCCAGUGACAUCCCCUAUGUUCAACGGCCGCGGUAUCCUAACCGUGCUAAGGUAGCGUAAUCAUUUGCCUCUUAAUUGGUGGCCUGUAUGAAUGGACAAACGAGAGCUUAACUGUCUCUUUUUUACAACAAAAACCUAACCUUUGGGUGAAAAGGCCCAAAUAAUUUUAUAAGACGAGAAGACCCUAUCAAGCUUCACUAAAACAAGGCACCACCAAACACCAAGUGUAAAUUAACUGUCUUAAAUAUUAGUUUAGUUGGGGCGACUGGGGACCAAUAGAAGCGUCCCCCCAUCAUAAAGGAUACUAAUCCAAUAAAACUGACCCGUCUACCACGAUCAAGAGAAAAGCUACUGUAGGGAUAACAGGCUAAUCUUCCUUAAGAGCCCAAAUCGAAAGGAAGGCUUGGCACCUCGAUGUUGGCUUAAGACACCCCUAAAGUGCAGCAGCUUUAAAAGGUAGGUAUGUUCACCCUUUAAAGUCUUACGUGAUCUGAGUUCAACCCC